CUCCUUGGGAUUUGGCUUCCUCUGGAGGAAUUCCCUGAUUCCUCCAGGUAGUGACUUUGCCAUAACCAACUGAGUUCUUAUGAUAUUCCUGCGGCCCACAGCAAAAGCCUUAGGGACUACCUUCCUCAGCCUGCUGGAUGAUGACCAGGACUCCUGUACUGGGAGAUCAGCCUGGACUUUACCAACGUUGCUCAGCUAGUCCCAUCUCACCAUGACUCCCUACACUCUCCCUGUGAUUCCCAGACUCUGCAACACUUCACAUGUUACAACUUCUGAUGUGCCACCAAUAUCACAAGUAUACACCAGGGUGUGUACGCUCACUGUGAAAGGGAAAAAUAAACAGCGUGGAACAUGGGGGUGAUGGCAGGAGGGUGGUAGAUGGACUUAGUAGAUAGUUUUGAGCUUCUGGACCAAAAGUCAGUUAUGGCAAUGAACAUGAAUGAGUACAGUGCAAUAUUUAACAAAGGCAGAGAAUGUUGUGGAUAGAACAUUAUGCAUAGAAUGCCCAUCAUUUUUCUAGAGAUAAUUUAAAAAUGUCUGAGCCUUCUGGAGUAUGUGGAAAGAGUGGCAAAGGCUCUCAUUGUACUACUGAAUUGAGAUCAUGAAGGGGCAGACAAGGUAACCCUUUGACGUUGGGAAAUGUUCUGAGUGGGCCUUUUGGAGGCCCCAAUAUCAAAUUUGAUCCAAUCAUUAUCUGUCAGUAUCAGAACUCCCAAAGUUAGAUUACGCAGUGGUUUAUUAACUUCAGAUUUUUACAUGCCCAUGAGAACAGACAAUAGGUACAGAGAGAUACUUUAUAGUACAAAGAACUUCUGAAUUGAAUUAGUUUGCAUAUAUGUGCUAUUUAUUCAGUCUUGUGUAGAUCAUUUAUUCUUUGUGGUGAUCUUUUUUUAUUUUUUCUGUUGUUGAUACGAUUUACAGGUAGACAUUUUAUUGGACUUUUGAUGAAUCUAUAGCUCAAAUCUGUACUGACAUAGUAAUGAAGCUUUCUGUGUACAGUCAUGGAAUUCUAUCCUUUUAUCUACUUCCUUGAUUCUUUUAAUUACUAAUUUAUAGUUUUACAUACAGGUACUUGUCACAUUUCUAUGUUUGCCUGGCUGUUUAUCCAUGGUGACAUAUAAUUCAUUUGGGGUUAGUGUUUUUAAUUUGCUGAAUUUACUUAUUUUAUUUCAACUGUAUGGGUGUUUUGCAUCCAUGUAUGCAUGUUCUCCAUGAGUGUUUGGUGUGCACAGAAGACAGAAGAGGGCAUUAGAUCCUCUGCAAGAAGUUGUAGGCAUGAUUAUGCAUCACCAUGUUAGAUCUGGGGAUGAAACAUCUUCGCCAAGAGCAAUAUGUGGCCUUCACUGCUGAGCCAUUUCUCCACUCCUAAACUUGACAGAUUAUCAGAAUUGUGUGUGUGUGUGUGUGUGUGUGUGUGUGUGCAUGCAGAAUCUCACCGUGAAAACUGAGUGUUCAGAGAGUUGAGGUUUGAUUAAAAUUGGGUGUUUGGGCGCUGGAGAUAAUUCAGUAGGUAUCAGAUUGUCAUGUAGUCAAAGAUUGCUCCCUUUCAUUGUAAAUCUCCACAAGAGUGACCACAAAUAACCACUGUGUAGAAUAAAUACUAGUCUGUCUUGAAA